rnacentral:lncRNA from 1 species
UCUUCAAGGGGUGGGUUGGCUUCACUGCAACCUCAUCCUACCUUGCUGGCUUACAGCACUAAGUCUGGCAGGGCUCAGAGAAGGAAGCUUCCAAGUGGACUUCAUGCAUCUGAAAAGGAGCCACUCUGGGAACUGCCUGGGAGGCAACCCUUCUCACUACCUAGGUAACAGCUCUGUCAUUUAUGGCUCAAACGCCACUCACCAGGGAGUUGCUGCAGACCUGUAUGUAUCCUUAUCAGAGAAAUAGAGGCUACUGAGAACCUAAGCAGGUGCCUCAUCGAUAAGGAAACUACAUAAGACAGUAUCUUGGAAGUUAGAGCUGCCCUGUAACUUGCAUCCCCCAUAUCUCAGAAACCAGAAUGAAAGGUCUACAGCAGAGACGGAAGAGAGGAAGUCUCGUCACUUGGACCACCAAAGAACUAAGGUCUCAAGGUCCCUCUACUAUGGUUAAAUCUAUAGUCAAGCAACCCAUCCCAGUGCUUCUGUGGAAUUCCUGCAAGAGGCAGGAGGCGGUUCAGAGAGUCAUCAAAGCCAUUUUCACAAGGUAGACACAGGACUGGGGGAUUAGAGGCUUUCAUGGCCUCACUUGCCAACCUGCACCCCAAGGCUCUGGGUGAGUACCAUUAACUUCUCUCCACUCUCUAUAAUUCCAAACCAAUCUCCACUUUGCAUAUCGACAUGAAAGCCAAUGGCUGUGCCAGCUAAGGUCAGCCGACUCCAAGGAAAAAGCCUCAAGGGGAGGCAGAUAUGGAGACAGGAGCUGGGAAAAGCAGUAGGAGAAACCUCACGCUGGACAUUACGUCUACCAGUGACUCUCUCCCCUACUGCUGCCAGUGCCUGAAGCACCAGGGCAGUUUGUAUCUUCUCAAGGUGUUUCCUCAG